rnacentral:lncRNA from 1 species
AGAAAUAUUAAAAGGAUCACAAAUAUCACUCAAAUACAUCUCAAUUCAAUCUUAAUUUAAUUCUAGUUAAAAUCCUAUUGAACUUCAUUCAAACUUUAGGCCAAAACUAAUUGAAUCUUAAAUCCUAAUAAAAUUCUAAACCCUAAAUCAAAGCCUAAACAAACCUUAAACCAAACCACAACCAAAUCCUAAACCAAAUCCUAACCAAAUCCUAAAUCCUAAAUCAAACCCUAACCAAAUCCUAAACCAAAUCCUAAUCCAAAUCCUAAACCCUAAAUAAAAUCCUAACCAAACCUUACAUCAAAUCUUAAAUCAAAUCCUAACCAAACCGUAAACCAAAUCCUAAUCCAAACCCUAAAUCCUAAAUCCUAAAUCAAAUCCUAAUCCAAAUCCUAAAUCCUAAA